CUUGUCCAAAUCGACUUCUAAAUCUGAUACGGAGGGAGUACUUUAAUACAAGUAUAAAUUUUUAUUUGUGUCAUAAUGUGUGUUUACUACUUUUGUUGUCACCUAAUGUGUAUUGUUUAUUUUAACCUCUACUUAGUUCAGAAAUUAGUAGUAGCAUAAAAGGUGUAAGUUUAUUUUUUUUAAAAUGACUUAACUAAACACUAAUUUCAUAUCUUAUUCAACACAAAUUUAGUUUUUUUAUGGCAAACCUGGGAAGAAAAGAAAUGCUAAAAUCACAGAAUGCUCUAAUGGGUGUCAUUGGACCACAUUGAGUUUUUACUGUAAUGAGCUUCAAGAUGAUAUGACAGCCCUUAUGAGAAAAAGGGUGGUAGAUCUGGCUGCACUUUACAAAAGAAGAAACAACCAGAAACUAAAGGUUCAUCUAGAUGGCCAUUUGCUCACUAAUAAUUUUUCAAGUUAUGUGGAUUUGUACCUGCCAUCUCCUUCCAAGAAGACAUCAAAAAGUGUAUAACAAAAGUUAGCCUUUGCUUGGGAGGUGUGUAUUACUUUAAGCAGAAAUGGCCAAUACCAACAGUUCAACUUUGUUAAUGGUGUUGUAAUAGAGGGAGGAUUUCAAUUUGAUAC